AAACCAACUGGGAUUGCCUCAGUAACGGCGAGUGAAGCGGCAGAAGCUCAAAUUUGAAAUCUGGCCCCUCUGGGGGUCCGAGUUGUAAUUUGCAGAGGACACUUCGGGUGCGGCCGCGGCCUAAGUCCCCUGGAACGGGGCGUCAGAGAGGGUGAGAAUCCCGUCUUGGGCCGUGGGCUUGCCCCGUGUGAAGUUCCUUCGACGAGUCGAGUUGUUUGGGAAUGCAGCUCUAAGUGGGUGGUAAAUUUCAUCUAAGGCUAAAUACUGGCGGGAGACCGAUAGCGCACAAGUAGAGUGAUCGAAAGGUUAAAAGCACCUUGAAAAGGGAGUUAAACAGCACGUGAAAUUGUUGAAAGGGAAGCGCUGGCAGCCAGACACGGACCCGGGGGCUCAGCGGGCAUGCGUGCCCGUGUACUCCCCCGCGGUCCGGGCCAGCAUCGGUUUCGGCGGCCGGUCAAAGGCCCCGGGAAGGUAUCGUCCUCCGGGACGACUUACAGCCCGGGGCGCAAUGCGGCCAGCCGGGACCGAGGAACGCGCUCCGGCACGGAUGCUGGCGUAAUGGCUGUCAGCGGC
rnacentral:rRNA from 1 species